rnacentral:rRNA from 1 species
UGGAUGACUCUCGGCAACGGAUAUCUUGGCUCUUGCAUCGAUGAAGAACGUAGCGAAAUGCGAUACCUGGUGUGAAUUGCAGAAUCCCGUGAACCAUCGAGUCUUUGAACGCAAGUUGCGCCCGAAGCCAUCCGGCCAAGGGCACGCCUGCCUGGGCGUCACGC